rnacentral:rRNA from 1 species
ACGCUCGACACCUACGGGAAGCAGCAGUGGGGAAUAUUGCACAAUGGGGGAAACCCUGAUGCAGCAACGCCGCGUGAAGGAAGACGGUUUUCGGAUUGUAAACUUCUGUUCUUAGUGAAGAUAGUGACGGUAGCUAAGGAGCAAGCCACGGCUAACUACGUGCUAGCAGCCGCGGUAAUCUGAGCGGGCUGGCAAGGC